rnacentral:rRNA from 1 species
AGAGUUUGAUCCUGGCUCAGGAUGAACGCUGGCGGCGUGCCUAACACAUGCAAGUCGAACGGAGUUACGAUGAAACCUAGUGAUUCGUAACUUAGUGGCGGACGGGUGAGUAACGCGUGGAUAACCUGCCUUGCACUGGGGGAUAACACUUAGAAAUAGGUGCUAAUACCGCAUAAGCGCACGGAGCCGCAUGGCUCAGUGUGAAAAACUCCGGUGGUGUAAGAUGGAUCCGCGUCUGAUUAGCUGGUUGGCGGGGUAGAAGCCCACCAAGGCGACGAUCAGUAGCCGGCCUGAGAGGGUGAACGGCCACAUUGGGACUGAGACACGGCCCAAACUCCUACGGGAGGCAGCAGUGGGGAAUAUUGCACAAUGGGGGAAACCCUGAUGCAGCAACGCCGCGUGAGUGAAGAAGUCAUUCGUGAUGUAAAGCUCUAUCAGCAGGGAGGAAAAUGACGGUACCUGAGUAAGAAGCCCCGGCUAACUACGUG